GAUUUUGGAGCUUAAAACAUCAGACGUUGUUUUUGAACAAUCUAGCAUAAAAACCACUCGCCCAAUUUUUGCACGAUUUUAAAUUUUCAGUGUGUUUCAUACUUAUUUACUUUUAGAUACAUUUUUAAGUUCUCUAAGGAACUUAUGAGAUUACAUAUGAAAGAUAUAGAUAUUUGUAUAUUAUUUGUGAAGUUGUUAUUGGCGCUUGAUGUUAUAAAUUAUGUGCUAACUUGUUUUAACAGUUUAUAGGGAUAGCUGUUGAAGCGUAAUACUUUUAAAAUUUUUUGUUUUGCUUUGAAAAUUAUUUUCACUGGAGUCAAGCUUUAAAAUAUGAAAGCAUUGUUUUAGCAGGUUUUUAAAUGCAAAAGAAUUUGAAUAUCUUCAAUUCCAACGUUUUAAACGUGCUCGAAAAAUAAACAUAGUAAAACUUGCGUUUGUUUUAAUUUUUGACAGUUUUAAGUGUAAGUUAGGUAAAACUAGCAUUGGUUUUUAAUUUUUCACAGUGUUAAGCGUAACUUAGAAAGUAUUUUGAAGCUCAAAAUAUCAGACUUUAUUUUCGAACAAUUCUGGCAUAAAAAACAUUAGAACAAUUUUCGUGUGAUUUUAAUUUUUUGUUGUUUUUCAUAGUGUUAAGUGUAAGUUAUAAAGGAUUUUGAAGUUUAAAACAUCAGACUUUGGUUUUGAACAAUUAUGGGCAUAAAAACCAUUCGCACAAUUAUCGCACAAUUUUAAUUUUUUGCUGUGUUUCAUAGUUAUUUGCUUUUAGAUACAUUUUUAGGUGCUCUAAGGAUUUUGAGGAAUUACAUAUGAAUGAUCUUCAUAUUUGGAUAUUAUUUAUGAAGUUGUUAUUGGUGCUUAAUGUGAAUAAUUAUGUGCUAAAUUGUUUUAGCAGUUUAUAGGGGGAGCACUAAAAGCCUAAUGCUUUUGAAAUUUUAUGUUUUCCUUUGAAAAUGAUUUUCACUGGAGUCAAGAUUUAAAAUAUGAAAGCAUUGUUUUAGCAGGUUUUUAAAUGAAAAUGAAUUUGAAUAUCUUGAAUCCAAUGUUUUAAACUCACUCAAACAAAGAAACUUGGUAAAACUUGCGUUGGUUUUAAUUUUUCAUAGUGUUAAGUGGAAGUUAUAAAGGAUUUUGCAACUUAAAACAUCAGAUUAUGUUUCUGAACAAUUCUGGGCAUAAAAACCAUUUGCACAAUUAUUGCAUGAUUUUAAUAUUUCUUUGUGUUUCAUACUUAUUUGCUUUUAGAUACAUUUUUAGGUGCUUUAAGGAUGUUUAGGAAUUACAUAUGAAUUAAAUUCAUAUUUGGAUAUUAUUUGUGAAGUUGGAUAUUGUUAUGUGCUUUCUACCAGUUUAUAGGGGGAGCACUCGAAGCCUAAUGCUUUUGAAAUUUUAUGUUUUGCUUUGAAAAUGAUUUUCACUAGAGUAAAGCUUUAAAAUAAGAAAGCAUUGUUUUAGAAGGUUUUUAAAUGGAAACGAAUUUGAAAAUCCUGAAUCCAAUGUUUCAAACCUGCUCAAACAAAGAAACAUAUAAAAACUUCCAUUGGUUUUAAUUUUUCAUAGUGUUAAGUGUAAGUUAUAGAGGAUUUUGGAGCUUAAAACAUCAGACUUUUCUUUCUGAACGAUUUUGGGCAUAAAAACCAUUCGCACAAUUAUUGCACAAUUUUAAUUUUUCAUUGUGUUCAUACUUAUUUUCUUUUAGAUGCAAAUUUAGGCGCUCUAAGGAGUUGAGGAAUUACAUAUGAAUGAUCUUGAUAUUUGGAUAUUAUUUGUGAAGUUGUUAUUGGCGCUUGAUGUGAUUAGUUAUCUGCGAACUUGUUUUAGCAGUUUAUAGAAGGAGCACUAAAAGCCUAAUGCUUUUGAAAUUUUAUGUUUUUCUUCGAAUAUGAUUUUCUCUAUAGUCCAGCUUAAAAACAUGAAAGAAUUGUUUUAGAAGGGUUUUAAAUGGAAAUGAAUUUGAAUAUAUUGAAUCGAAUGUUUUAAACUUGCUCAAACAAUGAAACAAGGUAAAACUAGCAUUGGUUUUUAAUUUUUCAUAGUGUUAAGCGUAACUUAGAAAGGAUUUUGAAGUUCAAAAUAUCAGACUUUGUUUUCAAACAAUUCUGGGCAUAAAAAACAUUCGAACAAUUUUCGUGUGAUUUUAAUUUUUUGUUGUUUUUCAUAGUGUUAAGUGUAAGUUAUACAAAGGAUUUUGAAGUUUACAACAUCAGACUUUGGUUUUGAACAAUUCUGGGCAUAAAAACCAUUCGCACAAUUAUCGCACGAUUUUAAUUUUUCACUGUGUUUCAUACUUAUUUGCUUUUAGAUGCAUUUUUAGGUGCUCUAAGGAUUUUGAGGAAUUACAUAUGAAUGAUCUUCAUAUUUGGAUAUUAUUUAUGAAGUUGUUAUUGGUGCUUAAUGUGUGCUAAAUUGUUUUAGCAGUUUAUAGGGGGAGCACUCGAAGCCUAAUGCUUUUGAAACUUUAUGUUUUCCUUUGAAAAUGAUUUUCACUGGAGUCAAGCUUUAAAAUAUGAAAGCAUUGUUUUAGCAGGUUUUUAAAUGGAAAUGAAUUUGAAUAUCUUGAAUCUAAUGUUUUAAACCCACUCAAACAAAGAAACUUGGUAAAACUUGCGUUGGUUUUAAUUUUUCAUAGUGUUAAGUGAAAGUUAUAAAAGGAUUUUGUAGCUUAAAACAUCGGACUUUGUUUCUGAACAAUUCUGGGCAUAAAAACUAUUCGCACAAUUAUUGCACGAUUUUAAUAUUUCAUUAUGUUUCAUACUUAUUUGCUUUUAGAUACAUUUUUAGGUGCUCUAAGGAUGUUUGGGAAUUACAUAUGAAUGAAAUUCAUAUUUGGAUAUUAUUUGUGAAGUUGGAUAUUGUUAUGUGCUUUCUACCAGUUUAUAGGGGUUAGCUUUUGAAAUUUUAUGUUUUGCUUUGAAAACGAUUUUCACUAGAGUAAAGCUUUAAAAUAAGAAAGCAUUGUUUUAGAAGGUUUUUAAAUGGAAACGAAUUUGAAAAUCUUGAAUCCAAUGUUUCAAACCUGCUCAAACAAAGAAACAUAUAAAAACUUCCAUUGGUUUUAAUUUUUCAUAGUGUUAAGUGUAAG
rnacentral:lncRNA from 1 species